rnacentral:tRNA from 1 species
UGAAUUUUUAUAUUUUAAAAAUAUACUCGAGAUUUUGCUACCAAUUUCAUCUGUCAGAGGUUUUGAAAACUGCUGAAUU